CAUCUUAGAUCAUUUAGACAUCAACAGAACCACUGAUUCCAGUAAUAUAUCCAUCCUUCAAAAGCUUUACGAAAGGUGUUGGAAUCACAGCAACCAAGAAUCACUUAGCCCGUGCAUGCUGGCUUCCCUUUAUCUUCACCUGAGGGUUUUUGUGAAGAACGUUUUGCAUUUGUUCCCGGGUUACCUCCUGGGCUCUUUGGUCAUCUCUGCGUUGGUGGUUGCAUUUGUCAUGCAGUGUUCUCCAGCUCUGUUGGCAGUCUUUCAGCCCCCUGCAUUAUCAUUGCCCGAAGAAGCUCAAGCUGAACAUUCUUCCACAGAAGAAAAUACUAAUGAGACCAGCUCAGCCCAGCAAGAAGAGCCUACUGUUACAAAUAAUUCAGAAGAUAAUGGCCUAGGUUCUCAAGGGACUUGCUCCAGCAGCUGAAAAUAUGGUUUCCCCAAAAAGCAUCUUUCUGAUGGCAUCCAAAGAAAAAAAUCAUCCCUCCUUUUCAGGCAGUGGCAGAAGGCCCCCUACAUUUUUCAUGGGGGUGGAGGAAAAGAUCCGUGUUGCACUGCAGAAGCGGGUUGUGAUGCCGACAAAGCACUCCAUGCUCCCCACAGUCUUGUUUGACGGAGUUUGGAGCAGCUUUGAAGACUUCACCCAAAGUUUGUUGGCCAAGAUGAAAGACUGAUUCUGGGAAGAAAGGCAUUUAAACAUAGGGGUCUCCUUCAGCAAUCAAGUUAAUUUAUUCUCAAAUUCAGAAACUGUCUAGAGGUGAAAUUAAUCAGCGGGGAAAGGGAUUUCUGUUCCGUUUAAAAGUGAUCAGGAGGGUUUUUUUCCCAUUAAGUGACCUAAUUUGGAUUUAUCAGGACUUGCCUAGACAAUCAAUCAAAACGUAUG